rnacentral:rRNA from 1 species
UACGUAGGGGGCAAGCGUUGUCCGGAAUUAUUGGGCGUAAAGCGUCCGCAGGUGGCAAUGUAAGUCUGCUGUCAAAGCGUCUGGCUCAACCAGAUAAAGGCAGUGGAAACUACAUAGCUAGAGUAAGGUAGGGGUAGAGGGAAUUCCUGGUGUAGCGGUGAAAUGCGUAGAGAUCAGGAAGAACACCGGUGGCGAAAGCGCUCUGCUGGACCUUAACUGACACUGAGGGACGAAAGCUAGGGGAGCGAAUGGG